rnacentral:rRNA from 1 species
AGAGUGAACGCUGGCGGUAGGCCUAACACAUGCAAGUCGAACGGCAGCACAGUGGUAGCAAUACCAUGGGUGGCGAGUGGCGGACGGGUGAGGAAUACAUCGGAAUCUACCUUUUCGUGGGGGAUAACGUAGGGAAACUUACGCUAAUACCGCAUACGCCCUUCGGGGGAAAGCCGGGGAUCGCAAGACCUGGCGCGGAUAGAUGAGCCGAUGUCGGAUUAGCUAGUUGGUGAGGUAAUGGCUCACCAAGGCGACGAUCCGUAGCUGGUCUGAGAGGAUGAUCAGCCACACUAGGACUGAGACGACGGUCCAGA